rnacentral:rRNA from 1 species
UACGUAGGCAGCAAGCGUUGUUCGGAAUUACUGGGCGUAAAGGGUGCGUAGGUGGCUCUGUAAGUCGGGUGUGAAAUUUCGGAGCUUAACUCCGAAACUGCAUUCGAUACUGCGGUGCUUGAGGACUGGAGAGGAGACUGGAAUUCAUGGUGUAGCAGUGAAAUGCGUAGAGAUCAUGAGGAAGACCAGUGGCGAAGGCGGGUCUCUGGACAGUUCCUGACACUGAGGCACGAAGGCCAGGGGAGCAAACGGG